rnacentral:rRNA from 1 species
GGGUUGUGAGGUUAAGCGACUAAGCGUACACGGUGGAUGCCCUGGCAGUCAGAGGCGAUGAAGGGCGUGCUAAUCUGCGAUAAGCGCCGGUAAGGUGAUAUGAACCGUUAUAACCGGCGAUACCCGAAUGGGGAAACCCAGUGUGAUUCGUCACACUAUCAUUAACUGAAUCCAUAGGUUAAUGAGGCGAACCGGGGGAACUGAAACAUCUAAGUACCCCGAGGAAAAGAAAUCAACCGAGAUUCCCCCAGUAGCGGCGAGCGAACGGGGAGGAGCCCAGAGCCUGAAUCAGCAUGUGUGUUAGUGGAAGCGUCUGGAAAGGCGCGCGAUACAGGGUGACAGCCCCGUACACAAAAGCGCAUGUGCUGUGAGCUCGAUGAGUAGGGCGGGACACGUGGUAUCCUGUCUGAAUAUGGGGGGACCAUCCUCCAAGGCUAAAUACUCCUGACUGACCGAUAGUGAACCAGUACCGUGAGGGAAAGGCGAAAAGAACCCCGGCGAGGGGAGUGAAAAAGAACCUGAAACCGUGUACGUACAAGCAGUGGGAGCACCCUUCGGGGUGUGACUGCGUACCUUUUGUAUAAUGGGUCAGCGACUUAUAUUCUGUAGCAAGGUUAACCGCAUAGGGGAGCCGGAGGGAAACCGAGUCUUAAUUGGGCGUUAAGUUGCAGGGUAUAGACCCGAAACCCGGUGAUCUAGCCAUGGGCAGGUUGAAGGUUGGGUAACACUAACUGGAGGACCGAACCGACUAAUGUUGAAAAAUUAGCGGAUGACCUGUGGCUGGGGGUGAAAGGCCAAUCAAACCGGGAGAUAGCUGGUUCUCCCCGAAAGCUAUUUAGGUAGCGCCUCGUGAAUUCAUCUCCGGGGUAGAGCACUGUUUCGGCCAGGGGCCAUCCCGGCUUACCAACCCGAUGCAAACUGCGAAUACCGGAGAAUGUUAUCACGGGAGACACACGGCGGGUGCUAACGUCCGUCGUGAAGAGGGAAACAACCCAGACCGCCAGCUAAGGUCCCAAAGUCAUGGUUAAGUGGGAAACGAUGUGGGAAGGCCCAGACAGCCAGGAUGUUGGCUUAGAAGCAGCCAUCAUUUAAAGAAAGCGUAAUAGCUCACUGGUCGAGUCGGCCUGCGCGGAAGAUGUAACGGGGCUAAACCAUGCACCGAAGCUGCGGCAGCGACGCUUAUGCGUUGUUGGGUAGGGGAGCGUUCUGUAAGCCUGCGAAGGUGGCCUGUGAGGGUUGCUGGAGGUAUCAGAAGUGCGAAUGCUGACAUAAGUAACGAUAAAGCGGGUGAAAAGCCCGCUCGCCGGAAGACCAAGGGUUCCUGUCCAACGUUAAUCGGGCAGGGUGAGUCGACCCCUAAGGCGAGGCCGAAAGGCGUAGUCGAUGGGAAACGGGUUAAUAUUCCCGUACUUGGUGUUACUGCGAAGGGGGACGGAGAAGGCUAUGUUGGCCGGGCGACGGUUGUCCCGGUUUAAGCGUGUAGGUGUGUGUUCCAGGUAAAUCCGGUUCACUUUAACACUGAGGCGUGAUGACGAGGCACUACGGUGCUGAAGCAACAAAUGCCCUGCUUCCAGGAAAAGCCUCUAAGCAUCAGGUAACAUCAAAUCGUACCCCAAACCGACACAGGUGGUCAGGUAGAGAAUACCAAGGCGCUUGAGAGAACUCGGGUGAAGGAACUAGGCAAAAUGGUGCCGUAACUUCGGGAGAAGGCACGCUGACACGUAGGUGAAGUGAUUUACUCAUGGGGCUGAAGUCAGUCGAAGAUACCAGCUGGCUGCAACUGUUUAUUAAAAACACAGCACUGUGCAAACACGAAAGUGGACGUAUACGGUGUGACGCCUGCCCGGUGCCGGAAGGUUAAUUGAUGGGGUCAGCGCAAGCGAAGCUCCUGAUCGAAGCCCCGGUAAACGGCGGCCGUAACUAUAACGGUCCUAAGGUAGCGAAAUUCCUUGUCGGGUAAGUUCCGACCUGCACGAAUGGCGUAAUGAUGGCCAGGCUGUCUCCACCCGGGACUCAGUGAAAUUGAACUCGCUGUGAAGAUGCAGUGUACCCGCGGCAAGACGGAAAGACCCCGUGAACCUUUACUAUAGCUUGACACUGAACAUUGAGCCUUGAUGUGUAGGAUAGGUGGGAGGCUUUGAAGUGUGGACGCCAGUCUGCAUGGAGCCGACCUUGAAAUACCACCCUUUAAUGUUUGAUGUUCUAACGUGGACCCGUUACCCGGGUUGCGGACAGUGUCUGGUGGGUAGUUUGACUGGGGCGGUCUCCUCCUAAAGAGUAACGGAGGAGCACGAAGGUUGGCUAAUCCUGGUCGGACAUCAGGAGGUUAGUGCAAUGGCAUAAGCCAGCUUGACUGCGAGCGUGACGGCGCGAGCAGGUGCGAAAGCAGGUCAUAGUGAUCCGGUGGUUCUGAAUGGAAGGGCCAUCGCUCAACGGAUAAAAGGUACUCCGGGGAUAACAGGCUGAUACCGCCCAAGAGUUCAUAUCGACGGCGGUGUUUGGCACCUCGAUGUCGGCUCAUCACAUCCUGGGGCUGAAGUAGGUCCCAAGGGUAUGGCUGUUCGCCAUUUAAAGUGGUACGCGAGCUGGGUUUAGAACGUCGUGAGACAGUUCGGUCCCUAUCUGCCGUGGGCGCUGGAGAACUGAGGGGGGCUGCUCCUAGUACGAGAGGACCGGAGUGGACGCAUCACUGGUGUUCGGGUUGUCAUGCCAAUGGCACUGCCCGGUAGCUAAAUGCGGAAGAGAUAAGUGCUGAAAGCAUCUAAGCACGAAACUUGCCCCGAGAUGAGUUCUCCCUGAGACUUUAGGUCUCCUGAAGGAACGUUGAAGACGACGACGUUGAUAGGCCGGGUGUGUAAGCGCAGCGAUGCGUUGAGCUAACCGGUACUAAUGAACCGUGAGGCUUAACCUUACAACGCCGAAG